rnacentral:rRNA from 1 species
CACUGUAACCAUUAGGGGAUGGACAUAUAAGUCUGAAUGUUUCUACUUUCUAAAGUUGAACAGUCCUGGGCCUGGCUAAUAUUUGGAUGGGAGACCACCUAGGAACCCCAGUGCUGCAGGUU